GAAUCCUAAAGUCCAACAUGCUCUAGAAUGAACUCAGAUAUCUUUCUUCCCAAAUAACUGAGCUGGGACUGACUUUCGGUCCCAUCCUCAGACCCACAAAACUACUCUGAACACGAAUGGGUGUUAGAGCACCAUCAGAAGAGCAUGAAUUCAGGGAAACACUGUGAUGAAGAAGAGGGAUAGGUUGCAGUCAAACUGCUAAAAACACACUGACCCAGGCCCUGAAUCUAAAGAGCUCCCGGUGCAAGCCUGAGUCAGGGAGGAACCCAGGCCCCUGCCAGCUGCUCUCAGAUGUGUGGUGUCCCCUGUAACUAGAGGGCAGCUACCUCCUUCUCCAACAGAAAGGAACCUCAGGAAACAGGACAAUGAGAGCCAGAAGGUGGCUGUCACGGCAAAGCAGGCUGCCCCGGAUCUGGAACAAGACUGCCUGGGUUUGAAUCCUGUCUCUACCACUCACUAGUAUGUGUGACUGUGGGCAAGUUACUCGGCCUCUCUGAAUAGUAAAGAAAUGAAUAAAUGAGCCACAAAGGCAUCUUUGGAGAGGAAGAAGGGAGUAUAAAUUGGCCUGAGCAGAAUUACAGAAUCCUUAGUGCCAAAUGCCCACGAUUCUUCGUUAAGAGCUUCUGUUAACUUCCUGGUUUGGUCCGCCUUCAUUUUCUGCCAGCUAUUUUCAGAAGACAGAUGUAAGAGUUGCCUUGUAAUUGCGAUUGGAACUAAGAGCCCAUCCUUGAAGUGUCCCAACACAUUUUAUUACCUGCAAGAACGUCACCAUCUCGUUGGAGCAAGCUUCCAGGUUAAUCCUUCGUACCGUCACGUACUCUCCUGUCGGUUUGUACCUUGCUAGAUUCACUGUCAUCAGGUCCUCAAAUCCUUUGCCUAAAAGAAACGGAGAAUGUCAUGAACAAGUUCAAUGGCAACAGAGGUGGCCUUAAAGAGACUUGAUUUAAAAUGAGAACUCGGGGCGCCUGGGUGGCUCAGUCGGUUGAGCCAACGGCCUCAGCUCAAGUCAUGAUCUCACGGUUUGUGAGUUCGAGCCCCGCGUCGGGCUCUGUGCUGACGGCUCCGAGCCUGGAGCCUGCUUCAGACUCUGUCUCCCUCUUUCUCUGCUCCUCCCCCACUCACGCUCUCUCUCUGUCGCUCAAAGAUGAAUAAAUGUGAAAAAAAAAAAUUAAAAAAAAAAAAAAAAAGAGCUUCUCUCCUGGUAACAUGAUCUCUUUUCCCAGAUUUGGAAGACAGAAGCAAAGGAGAGUCACAAAAGCCAGUUUUGUCACCCUGAGUCCUGCUAACUAGCUGACAGCCUCUGGCACUCGCUGAUCUGGGGAUGCAGAGGAGGCCACAGGAGUGCCCAGGAGCCUGAAGAUGGAACAGAGAAAAUGGAGAAACCAGAGUAUGCGGGGUAGAGCUUGAUCAAUAGUUAAGAUCCUGUUUUCUCAACUAUCAAUCUACCCCUCAUAAAAUCAGCGUCAUCAGUUAACACAAAACCCAGGGUGUGGCUUUCAGACCCAAAGUCCCUACUCUGAUCUUACUUCAAUGGAAAAAGCUGUUUCGCACUCUUCUUUGAAGACAUCUCAAACGCCCUUCCAGCACCAAACGAGCUGCAAAGGGGAAACCCACUCCUCUGUGCCUCAGAUUCCUUAUUUGUAAAAGGAGGAAAAAUAGCUCAACUAACGCGAACUUUUUUUUCCCCUUCUGGAUCUUUACGUCCCUGGAUCCUUCCCAGUGCACAACUCUGAGAGACGUUCUGUAGAAACCCGUCAAGCCUAAGCCGAGCUGUGUUGGUCUUGACAGAGGAGGACACAACCAAGUGAGACAGAUCUGUGAGACUGCGGUUUUUUCCAGUGACUUACCCUCGGGGUGGGGCGUGUGCCCACAAUUAGGUAGCCCAUCAAGUAUUGAACACUGGCUCUUCGCAACUCUGACCCUCGACACAGAUUUGUACUGGUCUAACUUCCAAGAUGGGGGAGUUCUGCUGCAUCCAAACUGAUGGAUAAAUGAUGCUGAAACUCCAUGUGAACUUUGCCUAGUGACUGAUAACGCGCCUCGGGGCCUCAUUCAAUUUUACAUACAGCACUUUGAUGUUACCUAGUCCUUUAACAUUCCAAAGCACGGCCCUCACCACUCUCUCUCUCUCUCUCUCUCUCUUUUUUAAGUAGGCUUCAGGCCCAGUGGAGGCCAACACGAGACUUGAAUUCACAACCCAGAGAUCAAGACCCCAGCUGAGAUCAACAGCUGCUUAACUGAGCCACCCAGGUGCCCCUAUUCUAUCAUUUUCAAAUUAGGAUGGCGCUCUCUGCAGCAGAUGUUAAACUGACAAAGCAAGAUGGUAGAAAAUGAAGUCAAAUUAUUGGCGAGUUCUUCAGAAAAGACCUUCACAUGUGGUCUUUGCAACUGAGGGUGCUAGAAAGGUCAGUGCCUUUAGAGAUGCCAAGUGAUGCAGCCGUCACAAUGAGGAAUUUGAAUACGGAGGCUCCGCCCACCACCUGUGGCCAGGCAGCUGUCAUUUUCUAACUGGAUGUUAAUCAGGUAAGGAGGCUCCAAGGUCUCACCAUCUUCAUGAUUGCCCACAAAAGCUAGCUAGAGAAACUUUUGGCCCAGACUUUGUGACUGUUUCAGGGAGCAAAUUUCCACUCACUUUAGUUUUCCUUGCGAAAGCAUCUCCUAAAUCCAGAUAGCUUAGAAAACCAGUGUUAAUGGAAGGUCAACUUUCAGAGUUUACAAAGUCUUCCUGCUUUGCUUUUGACUUGUUAUGGGCAAGUUUUGCUUUGAACUCUGC